AUACGUAGGGGGCGAGCGUUGUCCGGAAUGAUUGGGCGUAAAGGGCGCGUAGGCGGCCCGGUAAGUCUGGAGUGAAAGUCCUGUUUUUAAGAUGGGAAUUGCUUUGGAUACUGUCGGGCUUGAGUGCCGGAGAGGUAAGUGGAAUUCCCAGUGUAGCGGUGAAAUGCGUAGAGAUUGGGAGGAACACCAGUGGCGAAGGCGACUUACUGGACUGUAACUGACGUUGAGGCGCGAAAGUGUGGGGAGCAAACAGGAUUAGAUACCCUGGUAGUCCACACUGUAAACGAUGAAUGCUAGGUGUAGGGGGUAUCGACCCCUUCUGUGCCGCAGUCAACACAAUAAGCAUUCCGCCUGGGGAGUACGGCCGCAAGGUUGAAACUCAAAUGAAUUGGCGGGG
rnacentral:rRNA from 1 species